CAGGGCAAGCUGGCAGAAUUUGGCCUUGAACUCAGUAAGCACGUCACCUGCGUCACAACCGACGGAGCUUCGGUGAUGGUGAAAUUCGGGAAGUCACUGCCAUGUGAGCACCAACUCUGCUUCGCACACGGUGUUCACCUCGCCGUUGUCGACGCUCUGUACUCGGGUGACGCCGGGCAGACCUCUGAACAAGCAGAUGACGACCGUGGUGGUGGUGGACCUAACCAGGUGAACUCGUCAGAUGAAUCCGACGGUGAUGACGAGGAUGAGGACGACAACGUGGAAGAAAACACUACUGGUGCUACUGGUCACCACGAACUACAUAGUUCGCUCUCUCCAGUCGUUAAAAGCAUUAGAAACAUUGUCCGCUGGUUUAGAAAAUCGCCCGUACGAAAUGAAGUCCUUCAGAAAUACGUCAGAGAGGAGCGUGGGCAGGAACUGAUGCUAGUGCUAGACUGUAAAACCCGAUGGAAUAGUUUGUAUGACAUGCUAGAACGAUUUGAUAACCUCAAAGCAGCUGUCCACAAAGCACUCAUUGACAUAGGAGACAAACGUAUGAAAAUGAUCGAUGAUUAUGAAUACGCCGCCAUACCUGCGCUCAUUCGCUGCCUGAGAAUCAUGAAACUCGGAGCAGAAGCGCUAUGCAGGAGAGAAAGUGGACUAUUGGAGGCUGAAGCUGCUCUAAAGUUUAUGUUUAGCGCACUUGACAAGGAGGACUGCGCGAUUGCAUGUAAACUGUCUGAUGCGUUGAAACAGCGCAUCCGACAGAGACGGUCACGUGCGGCUAAAGUCCUACAAUCGCUCCAUAACAAAAUGUCGGCAGACAGAGACUGGAAAGAUAUUUUUCCUAGUGCCUCUCGCAAGGAAGCACAGGACUUAGUUGUCCACAUGAUGGAAAGAUUGGGAGAACAGAUGCAUGAUACCGAAGUAGGUGUAGAUACAGAAGUGAUGGACGCUGAUGAUCCUGAAUCAGCGCCGUCUCUUCAGUCGAUGCUUCAACAAGCUCUAGAUGAGGUUAGAGCUCCAGAGCAAGGCACCAGUUCAUGCCCGUCUGGGAUUAACUUUUCGCAAUCUUCUCUGAUGAUGACGAAGGCCAUAAGGAAAGAAUUGGAAAAUUUACCUAUCUCAGGAAGGACAGGCAUGGUAGCGCUGUCCUACAACUGGCUGAAGGGCAUAGUUCCUACGAGCGUUGAAUCGGAACGAGUGUUUUCCACUGUCGGGAAUAUCGUCACAAAAGUGCGGUCGAGUCUCGGCGACGAAGUCGUUGAUGCACUUUGCUUCCUCAAGUGCUACUACCGUAACAAGUGAAUGUGACCAGGACAUGCUGCUGGUCAGACGACCACAAUCCGUAGGCACGUCUACUGUAUCCUGACUCGAAAUAUAAACAAGAAAUACAAUGAUCAAUGUCAUUCAUGCUCUUAUAUUUGUUCGGGGUGAAGGUGUAUGCCUGGUAUUGUGUUUAUGAUGGUAAGGAUGCGCCAUAUACAUACGAUAUUGCAA
rnacentral:lncRNA from 1 species